rnacentral:rRNA from 1 species
UACAGAGGGUGCGAGCGUUAAUCGGAAUUACUGGGCGUAAAGCGCACGUAGGCGGCUUGGUAUGUCGGGUGUGAAAUCCCCGGGCUCAACCUGGGAACUGCAUUUGUGACUGCAUGGCUAGAGUACGGCAGAGGGGGAUGGAAUUCCGCGUGUAGCAGUGAAAUGCGUAGAGAUGUGGAGGAACACCGAUGGCGAAGGCAGCCCCCUGGGCUGAGAUUGACGCUCAGGCACGAAAGCGUGGGGAGCAAACAGG